rnacentral:lncRNA from 1 species
CUAGAAAAGUGAAGUGUUUUCAUUUAAGUUUAGUAAUGUUUAAAAUUAUUUGACUGGAAGUUGAGCCAGUGCCCACUCCAUCACCCUGGGAACUGUGAUUCUACCAGGAAAUGUUUUUGUCGGGUAAACUUUUCCUACUUGCUGCCAGGGAGGGAUCAGCUGUUGUUGCUUCUUGCCAGGGCUGUUAUCACGCCCUUCUCCCUGGUGACAGUGGAAAGCCAGUGGCCAGCUCCCAACCACCCUGGCUAGCACCCCUUUCGUGCCACCUUUCCCCCCUGAGGGAGGCCGCUGGGUACUGGAUGUCAUUGGCACCACCUUGGCUCCUGCAGAUCCACCCAGCCCUUACUGCUGGGUCCACUUAGGAAGAAUAUGAGGCUCUCUCUAGGCAAAGAUCUGGAGGUUCAGCCCACAGGACGGAUUCCUCCUGGAUCUCAGCGAAGCAGGGAAGUCAUUCAUCAAUUUCUAGAAGGUUCUUGCUGUGGAGCUCCCAAUCUUGCAGUGAUCCUCCUGUCUCAGCCUUCCAAGUGCUGGGAUUACAGGCAUGUCCCACCACACCCAGCUCUGGAAGGAAGGUGUUGCUGAAGUUGAAGAUGCCCAUUUUCGGAUUGAGACCCUCGGUUCUUCAUGACGAGCUCUCCGGAAGCCAGACAGCCUGGGUGCACUAGGAGGCCUUGUGGUAUUUCCCAGCAUCCCUUGGGAAUUAUGUGCCUCUUUGUUUUGGAAAGUGUGAUAGUUAACAGUGGUGUCAGCUUUAGGAAGAAAUGCCUGCUGAUUGGUUUAGCACGGUUCGGGUUGUGUCUGGAUGAUGGACAUACAGAAGGGGGAGGACUCACGCUGGGUGUGGGAGACACCAACCAAUGGGCUUCUACCCUGGGUGGAAUCAAAAGGGAAAGAAGGAAGUCUCCUUCUGUUGCUUCGGAGGAGCUCCAGUCUUCACCGUCACCUUUGGGCAUCCGUCUCCAGGCUUCCAGGACAGACCCUUAGGCUUCCUGACAGGAUUUGCAUGGGACUGCGAGGGGAGCUCCAGGCCUUUGACUUGUGACUGGGUCCUUUGGCUCUCCAGCGGGCAGAUGGCCCUUUUGCACUCUUCCACACCUGACUCUGUGGGCGGCCAUUAUAAGCCGACCUCGUAAAUCUCUAGUUAUUUAUCUAUCUAUCUAUCCAUCCAUCAUGUAUCUUAUAUUAAAUCAGUUCCUCUAAUGAACACUGACUGAUACAGAGAGGGAGGGACUACAUCAUCUGGAUAUCACCUUUCCACCUUUUCCAGCUCCUGGUAGCCCCCAGUGUUCUUGGUACGGGGCAGCACUAACUCUGAUACUCACAUAACCUUUCUUUUGUGCAUAUCUGUGUCUGUGUUCAAAUUUCUUCCUUUUACAAGGACAUGAGUUAUAGUGGGUUAGGGCCCACCUCGUGUCUUCAUCUUGACUAUGUCUACAAAGAGCCUAUUCCUAAACAAGGUCACAUUCUGAGGCACUGGGAGGUAGGAUGUCAGUCUGUCUUUGCUGCGGGGAACAGUUCAUAAUGCCACCUCCAGAAACUUCGGACUCACAGCCUCAAAUGUAAUGCCCGGCAUCACAGCUGACCAUGCACUAGAUAUUUCCAGCCCUGACAACAAUAGCUGCCAGAUGUGACAUGGAGAGAUGUGUUUUAUGGAGGUGAGGGGUCCAGGAGACACUAAUCAGGUAUCUGGACCUCAUUGGUCCCACAAGACACGACAACAGAGUUGGAUCAGGAGGGAACCAUAUCCUGAAAAAACCCCACAAGGUACAUGACCCACCUCUGAAUAAUAUAGGACAAACUAUACUUCCAAGAUACAGCUCAGCCCCAUUCAGCAUGAAUUUGAGUCAGCACAGUCAAUUAAUCUUAUCAGUAAUGACUUGCACACCAGAUGAUUCAAUCUGUACACCGGAAACGGCCACUGUUGGUGGUUGUGUUGCCUGGCUCUCCCUUCUGCUGUUUCUUCCCCCACCUGCUCCUUUAAUAUGUUGGCUUAGUUCUCUGCCUCCUCCUUCUGUCCUGGUUUGCUUUUAGCUUCCUUCCCAGUGGAGGUCAAAGGUCACAUAAGGAGAAGAAUCAAAUAGCUUGGUAUAAAACAAAAGAACCUUUAACAAAGCGG